CUAGUUCGUAUUUGGAUCGCUUGAGUGAAAUGAAUGAAACUAUAUUUUUUUAAUUGCCAUGCAAAAAUAAUAAAUACUACCACUAAUUGUUUUAAAUAAUUUUGUUCCUACAAUAUAUUUUGUUGGAAUUAGUGACGAUAGCAAGUAUUAAAAAACGGCUUUUUAAUUCAACGUUGAAGAAAUUCAUAACCUGUGGCACUUUUGACAGCCGCCAUGUUUAAUUCAUAAAAACUUUGAUUUUCUUUGUGGGUUUCGAGUCAACGUACCUAGGAAAUAAGAAGAAAGGAAAUUAAUUUAGAGAAAAACGACUGAGACAUAAUCAUGAACGAGACGAAUACUAGCAGCAGCAGAGUCUCCUACUCGCAGUUGGAGGCUCUGCUUGCUUUUAUGGAGGAGCACCGGGAACUGGCUGCCGGGUUCCUAAGAUCAACGGAAGCCCGGCACAAAAGCCAAAAGCUAUGGGAGGAACUCGGGAUCACUCUCAACUGCAUAGGCGGGGGGUCAAUUAAGACCGCGAAAGGGUGGUCUAAAUACUGGAGCGACUAUAAGAAUAAAUUGAAGGCGCGGGUGAGGUCCCUCAACAAGUCCCACACUGGGACUGGAGGAGGGGGAGCACUAGGCCCUCCUCUGUCUGCAAUAGAGGAGCGGGCAGUGGGGAUAAUGGGUCCCCAAUUUGGGAAAAACAUAAAAAAUGUACAGGUUGACCCGCUGCCCCCUCUCAAUUUAAAUGAAGGUUGUUGUGUGAUGCUUCCCUUUGGAGACGAAAACUGUCCGCCACCACCACCACCGCCACCUGCCACAACAGCCACUGUGACUAGUGGUGGCAAUACUGCUACUACUAGUCAUAGUGGCUUAUAUGAAAAACCUGAGCCUAAUAUUUCAUGUAAGUGUGUAUAUUGAUUAAAUGUAUGAAAGUGUUAUACUCCAUCAGUCUUUGGCUAAACAUAGAACUAUGUUUUUUUUUAAUUCAGAUGCCACUGAUAAUGAUGAGCAUGGAAGCUCUACACCUGUCAAAAGGAUCAAAAUGAAACGGCAGCGUAUUUCAACACCCAGAAGUGCAUUGGCUGAAGCCAAAGCCGAUGUACUCAACUUGCAACAAGAACAACUGCGCUGUGAGAGGGCCACGGCUUCAGCCCUCACAAUGAUAGCUGAAGCCAUGAACCGUCAGGCUGCAGUGAAUGAGAGGCAAUGCAGGCUUCUUGAGGAGGGGCUCCUCAUAUGGAAAAAGGCUAAUGAAAGGAGCAAUGAAGACACUUAAAGUAAAGAUUUUAGCGGCGACGCAGUUGCGCGACCAGUGAAGCUCUGGCUUCGCGCCCGGCGUGGAGCGCGCGGUCCACGCGGCGCUGCUGCGGCUGCUGCGCGGGAGGAUCCUCG